rnacentral:tRNA from 1 species
GCCUUUAUAGCUCAGUGGUAGAGCGUUUGCCUUGUAAGCAAAAGGUCUUGAGUUCGAAUCUCAAUUGAGGCU